UCAUCUCCUGUUUGAGAUCAAAACAUGUUGUGUAGUCAUUAGUCGACUUAAUAAAAAUUCACAUAAAAGUUUAUUUUUAUGUGUGCAUGAAUGCAAAUAUCAUGUUUUGUAAAAAUACAAACCGAGCAUUCUUUAAUUUUGGCUGAUCACACAGAGCUCAACUUUUUCAUAAAAAUGAUCUUGUUUUUGAAGUUGUCCCUUUGCAAAUUGAAAUGUGAGAGCAUUAACUGUCUUAUUACCUUAAUUAAUGUUUGGUUUAUGCUAUUUUUAAUGAAUAAAUGAAUAAAAUAGCCAUCUGGUAGUUAUUGCAUAUACACUCAUCAUAAUGGUAAGAGCAAAAUCUUACUGGUGGUUCUUCACUUUCCAGGCGAAUACUUCUCACUCUUGUUGCAAAACCCAAGGUGCAAAUUGUCUCACACAAAUCACCCUCAUCUGGGCUGAUAUGGACAAGCAUCAAUGUUUUGGAUUCACAUCCUGUCAACAAUUAAACAUGAAUAUGUCAAGGUGACAACCCAUCAAUGAUGUGAGACACUGAUUCAAUCCAACUAGGCGUGAGGUGCUUGUUGAACCCCAUGAGGGAUGACAGUGUAUCUGGGAGAUUCCGCAUGGUUCUUGCGGGUUGCACAUCCAUGUAUAUAGUACACCAGUUGUUGCCAAGAACCAGUGCCGCUGAUCUCUAUCCUACUGAUCCUAUUUGCUUCUCUGCUGGUGAUUCCACCUGCCAUUGCGGAAUGAGAUUAUAAGUUAGACUUGAGAAGGAUAUAGAAAGAACAACAUGAAGACUAUAUCUAUAAGGAUAAGGUGAUAUUUGCAGCUCGUACCUGCACAGGCUUCACUUCCAUACUCGGUCAAAUGUCUACGGACUGCAAGAGCAAGGAGAAUGCUGGGUGUGGGAGCUGCCUCUGGAGAACGCAUACAUUGCUUAAAUCCUUCUUGGGGUUCCAAGGUCUCUAUCACCUCUCAAGAAAAGGGUAAUUGAAGUGUGAAAUAAGGCUUGAGAGCAUUGGAAGAGAAGAAACUUUGCGAUACCUCAGAGUCCUCAGCUAGCUCUUCUUUUCACCUUCAAGGCAGUUUUUCUGCUCCAUAUAUCCAUCAGCAUGUCACCAUCAAGGGUGAAGAGUGCCCAACCGACACACCCAGUGAGAGAGAUUCUAGAUCAGAAUAUGCAAGUACCUCCUGUUUGUUUCAUCAUUUGGAAUCUUGACAGUACAAUCUGCCGUAGCUGCUACCUCCAAAACUGUCCUUAUAACUGCAGAUCAAAUAGACCUUGGGACACCUAGCUAUGGAAUGGAGCUUGCUGUUUCAGCUGUGCCAUAUGUACAUACCCAAGGAAGCUGACAAAGCAAAGCAGCAUAUGCUUCUCCGUUGCUUGGGAUUCUUUGGUCAAGGGAGCUCGAGAUCAGUCAGAACCACAACAGCUGUAACUCCCUCAGUGUUUUUUUUUUUGUCUGUCACAGGGACACAGAGUGAAGCAGGGUGGGAGUGGUGAUGGUAAUUAAGUAUGGAUUAUUGGAUGGCAGAGCUAAUGAUAGAUUAUAUUCCGUGGCACAUGGCGACAACGUUUAAUGGGUGGAUGCGGUGCUUGGCUAAUGAAAACCAUUCUCGUUCUGCUGUCAUAAGAAAAGGCUCACCUACCAUGUGCCAUGCUGAGCUUUUCAGUGAAGCAACAGGUGGGACUGUAGCCUGAAAAAUGCUGGAUUCUAAUCAAUCUUGUGAUUAUCGCUCAAAACAAAAUGCCUUGCUAUUUUUUCAGUGGUUUCUUACUGACGGACACUGUUCCCCGUCAAUUUUGGGCUCGUAAUAUUUCUUUAUCUGAGCAUGGUGAGGUCAGCAGGGCAAGUACUGCUUGUACAUUCUGUUGUACUGAUUCGUUCAUGAGAUGAUCCCUUCAAUCUUUGCAGAUAUCCAGGUAUUUUCAUGAUAAAUGUAUGUUAAAGUCUGUAUCUGUUGCCUGAUCCUUUUUUAUUCGGUGUGGUAUUCAUCUUAAGUGGACUCUUUUACUUUCGACAGUGCAACCAUUUGUGCAUUUAACAGUGACUUCAAUGGUUGUAGGGUAGAACUGAAGUUGCUAAGGUUAUCUUACAAGCUACAACAUUUUUAUGUGUAAUUAGAAGCCUGCGGAUAAAAUAAAAUUUAUUCCAGAAAUGCAUUUGUUAUUCACAAGACAGUCCAGUGUGGCAUUCAAGCAAGGGGGUACAUGAUUGUAUUGAUAAGUGGGUCUCAACAGGUAAGUUUCACCAGUAAGGCAGUGACAAACUGUGGACUAAUAAAACCAGGGACCCAUUGGCCUUUUGUAGGGAUAUUGCCUGUCCCUAUUUUAGUUAGCAAGUAAUGGAUCUUGCUGUACUCUUUGCUGUCCAAUGAAAAGGAGAAGUGAAUGUCUAUUUUUUUUUGAACGGAAAAAACUAUAGGCGUUCAAAUCCAACAAGGAACACUGAAUAUUCUCUUCUUUUCGUUUGACAACAAAGGCCACUGUAUUUGAAAUUUAUAUUUACCUUAUAGAAAAAGAUUAGCUCUAUUCGUUAUAAAAAUCUCAGCUGUUAAAGAGUAUGCAUUUGAUACAUUUGUAUUGUUUAUAUAUGUGAAGAUUUCUCAGUGAUAUGCCUGAUCAAAUUCCCUCUUUCCAGAGCACAGAAAGAUGAUAAGAGGAUCUCUUUAUUGAUCUGGGCAGAUAAGAUAUGGAGGAGCUAUUGCCUAUGGGCCAUAAGAAUUGGAUGAUCAUGAGUACACACUGCUCCCCCUAUGUAUAGCUGCAAUCUCCCUGCUUGCAUUUUCUCUCGCUGGCAAAGCACCUUUUGAGCUCAGGUGAGUAGAGCCUAAGAGUAACAUAUUUCUUCUCCUCCUUUUUUUCUUCCUUUUAAGCAAAAGGAGAAGGAGUGGAGAUGUUCAUUUGAUGGCCAUUUCAGGAGUGGAAGGUAAGUUAGAAAAAUAUUAGAAACAAAGUUACAGAGAGCAAAGCAAGUACUGGUAGAAGAAAAGGAAAUAGUCAAUGUCAAUGUGGUAUAGAAGCACUACACCUUUUCAAUUAGAAUCACAAACUGUAAAAUCAUUAAAGGAAGGUCAAAAUGUAAUACAGCAGUAGUAAUAGAAAUUUCCCGUUUGAUUCAAGAAUUAGGAGGUGUAAUAGAUUAUCGUAGUUAGAGGAAGUACUACUCAAAAGAUGAGAUGGGAUCAAGACAUUAGUUACACUAGCCAGUGGCCACUUGACAAUAAUGUAAUACUUCAUGAAUGAUAAGAUGGGAGUAUAAUGCA